rnacentral:lncRNA from 1 species
AAAAAAAGGGAAAAGAGAAGAGAAAGGAAGUAUGUGUGUGAGCCUGUGGGUACCCUGAGGCUUCAGCAGGGAGUUUGUGGUUUUAAGGGGUUCAGGAAUCACCUGGCCUCCUGUUCCAAGGGCCCUCCUUCGACAUAUUGAGUGUUGGCCACACCACAUGAGGAGUCAGGCUAGAGAAUUCCAACACUGUCCCUUGUGCGAGUAGGAUUUGCAUGUGACAUUUCUGAGGUUUGUUUCCUUGACUUUCCAUAACAGGGAGGCCUGACAGAUCACACCAGCCAACAGAACUCCUGUCCAGGGAAGCUGGGAUCAGUUCUUAGAGACUGAUCAGCACUGGGUGUCUGAGGAACAAUCAGGAGCAGGAGCGCUGGUGAUAGAUUAGUGAUGUCUGCGGCGCUGGUGAUAGAUUAGUGAUGUCUGCCACAGAUGUGGUUUGAAAGAAUGGGCAGAUACCAUUCCAGAUGCAAGCUGGCUGGGAAGAACAAAGCAAGAGGGUGUGGGUAGACAGUACCAUUGUACCCCCCCAGAGAGAGGAAUGAGAUGACAAAGGACCUGUGUUUACAGGGAGGUGACUUUGGAGCAGGACCCUGAAGAUAGGCUCUGGGAAAUAGCCUCUUAGGAA